AGCAAAAAUUUGCUAGGUAUAGUAGCAAAAUACGUAAAAAUAAUAAAUGCAGAUAUAGAUGGCCAAGCAUGCGAGCGACGCACGCACUGAAAACGUAUUUCCAAUAAUUUUACUCAUUAUCCCUGGAGAAGUUUCUUGCGCCUGCCUGUCUGUGGCUCCUUCAGCAUAUUCAUGUCCUGGCUGGGAUGCAGGCGUGUGGGGCAAGUCAAGCUGGCCAAGUGGGUGCUACAAGGCGCGCAGCAACAACAACAUAUUUACAAUAAUAACACAGCUCGUAAAGCGAAUGAAUAACUGAAAGGAAUGAUUGAAUGCCGGAUAGAAUGAAAGCGGCGCCCAAGCGACGACAACUACAUGGCAAACGCCAACGUCGACGUCUAACAAAACGCUUUUCGUUAGUUUUCAUUAUUUUCCGCAUUUAAGCGUAUUUAUUCCGUUGUUAAUCGAAUUUAUUAAAUGCAAACACGCCAACAUAUAGAAA